AGCGAACGCUGGCGGCAGGCCUAACACAUGCAAGUCGAACGAACCUAUCGGGGUUAGUUGCGGACGCGUGAGUCACACGUGGGAAGGUGCCGUUAGGCUCGGAAUACCUCAGGGACACUUGUGCUAAUACCGAAUGUGCUCCUCGGGGGAAAGAUUUAUCGCCGUUAGAGAGGCGCGCGUCCGUUUAGCUAGUUGGUUGUGGAUAUGGCGCACCAAGGCGACGAUCAGUAGUUGGUCAGAGAGGAUGAGCAGCCACAUUGGGACUAAGACACGGCCCAAACUCCUACGGAAUGGAGCAGUGGCGGAUCCAGCGCUACGGGCUAAGUCCUGACGCAGCCAGGCCUGGAAAAUGAUUUUGGUGUGAGGAAAAUGAAGUUCUUUCACCGGGGGCGAUAAUGACGGUACCCGAAGAAUAAGCCCCGGCUAACUUCGUG
rnacentral:rRNA from 1 species